ensembl:lncRNA
GUGGGGUGGGGGGGUUAGAGGAUAGAGGUUUGAGACGCGGUACGCUAUUGUGAUGUGAGACGCUACCGAAUAACAGUUCUUCAUAGCGAUAUGCCAGUGUGAGUUUACCAUGGGUGGGAGGCUUGGACGAGUAGUGUCUUCCAUCUUACUUUGUAAAUGUUUCACCAAUCACGACCCCAUUAGUAUACCAGUUGGAUGUAUCAGGCCUAGUUGUCAUCGAAGUGUAUAUGAGCAGUGAUAAAAUAUUCAACUUCCUUCUCUCGUUUUAAUCUCUAGACAUCAAAACAAUUCCACAGUAUAUCCUUUAAAUGUGAUAGUAAUCAUAUUUUUAAUGAUUUGGUUUCCUUUUUUGGUUUAAUUUUUUUAAAAUGAUUAUCAGUGGGUAAAGAUCGGGAAUGGCUACAGGUGUCCACAAGACAAGAGGCACACGGUACCCCAGCAACAGUAAAAUACACAGUACCUCUCAACAGUACGAUACAGGAAGUUAAAGACAACAUGAGAUGCAAAUGGACGUUUUCUCCAAACAGACACAUUUUUCUGAUUGCGUCACCAAGCCCCAGUUGGCUGGGCUUUAAAUUCCAACCAAUAAUAACAUGGAUAACAUUGUUGGGGGGCGUCGCUAAAUAAGUACUGCUAUCACCAAUUAAGUUCUCUAGGACCAAUCACACAUCCCAUCAGCUUAGUCCCGCCCCCUAAUAUUCAGUUUUUACGUGAAAAUGUAUCAUAUUAAAGGAACCAAAGACCACUGCUUUACUCUGUCUUUAAGUGGAAUACCCGGGUUUCAAAGACAUGUCGAUUAUGUACAUGGAUGUAUGAAAACGCGUAUGAUUGAACAAGUGUGUGUGUGUGUAUUAAUAAAACAAAAAAAUGGUUAAUGACAUAACAGCCGCUUUGAUAAAAUAAUAAACUGUAAAUAUGCAAGUGAUAUUAUGUUAUAUUAUGUCUACACACUAUAGGCAUCACACAGUUCUUCCACACACACACACACACACACACACACACACACACACACACACACACACACACACACACACACACACACACACACACACACACACACACACACAAACAAACGCACACACAACACACCACAGUCACCUCUUAAAAAAUGAUGUCAUCAAAGAGCAAAAUAGAAAGUUUGCAUAUUUUUCCAUUAUAUGAUCCUCCAGGUUUCACAGCUAGUUUCCUUUUGAACAUUGUCAAAUGCACUCCAGUCUCUCUCUCACCCUUUCACUCCCUCUCUCUCUGUCCCCUCCUCGCUCUCUGUCUCUCUGUCUCUCUCUCUCUCUCUCUCUCUCUCUCUGUCUCUCUCUCUCUCUCUCUCUCUCUCUCUCUCUCUCUCUCUCUCUCUC